UACGUAGGGUGCAAGCGUUGUCCGGAAUCAUUGGGCGUAAAGCGCGCGUAGGUGGCUCUGUAAGUCCGUUGUGAAAGUCAAAGGCUCAACCUUUGAAUGCCGAUGGAUACUGCAGAGCUAGAGUACGGAAGAGGCGAGUGGAAUUCCUGGUGUAGCGGUGGAAUGCGCAGAUAUCAGGAGGAACACCAAUAGCGAAGGCAGCUCGCUGGGACGUUACUGACGCUGAGGCGCGAAAGUGUGGGGAGCAAACAGG
rnacentral:rRNA from 1 species